rnacentral:rRNA from 1 species
UACGUAGGGUGCAAGCGUUGUCCGGAAUUAUUGGGCGUAAAGCGCUCGUAGGCGGUUUGUCGCGUCGUCUGUGAAAACUCGGGGCUCAACCCCGAGCCUGCAGUCGAUACGGGCAGACUAGAGUGCUGUAGGGGAGACUGGAAUUCCUGGUGUAGCGGUGAAAUGCGCAGAUAUCAGGAGGAACACCGGUGGCGAAAGCGGGUCUCUGGGCAGUAACUGACGCUGAGGAGCGAAAGCGUGGGGAGCAAACAGG